UGAACGCGCGUCUCUCUCUCGUCACAAACAGAAAGUGAAAGUUAGUUUUCCUGUCGCCAAUUGAGCUGGAAAAAUACAAUACGACAUGAAAAACAGAGCAUCAAGUGUUUAUCAACGCUUAAGAAUUAAUUUACUUGUAGUUUUAUGAUGUUAAAGCUGGAGGAUUUGAGAUCCUGUAUCUUGUAAAAGUUUGAUCAAGAGUCAGUGGAGGAGAUCAAACUCAACAGAUUCUCCUGAUCUUCAUCAUGGCUGAUUCACAAGCAUCCAGAGACGGAGAUUUCUCUCCAGGACACAGUUCAGUCCAGCAGAAGAGCUCAAACCCAGAGUCCAGCUGUGUGUCUGUGAAGAGUGACUGGUCUAUGGAUAAGCCAAUAAAGUUUAAGAGUGGAGACACACGGCCUAAUCUCAGGUAUAUCAUUUAUAUAAAAGAUGUGCAAUAGUGACACUUCUGAAUUAGACUCAUAAUUGAUCUUUGAAUUAGACUCAUUAUCUUAUAUUACGGGACAUGUAGGUAAACUACAAACUGGAAGGUUGGUGGCUCAAUCCCCGGUUCCACCUGACCAAGUGUCAAGGUGU